UCCCUUGUAGCUCAGUUGGUAAAGAAUCUGCCUGCAAUGCAGUAGAUCUGGGUUCGAAUCCUGGGUUGGGGUG
rfam:Ovis aries breed Texel chromosome 3, whole genome shotgun sequence.